rnacentral:rRNA from 1 species
GACGAACGCUGGCGGCGUGCCUAAUACAUGCAAGUAGGACGCAGUUGCGAACGGGUGAGUAAUGCGUAGGUAACUACCUAUUAGAGGGGGAUAACUAUUGGAAACGAUAGCUAAUACCGCAUACUUGUAGAUGGACCUGCGUUGUAUUAGCUAGUAGGUGGGGUAAUGGCCUACCUAGGCAACGAUAAAUAGCCGACCUGAGAGGGUGAUCGGGCAAGCUGGGACUGAGACACGGCCCAGAAUCCUACGGGAGGCAGCAGUAGGGAAUCUUCGGCAAUGGGGGAAACCCUGACCGAGCAACGCCGCGUGAGUGAAGAAGGUUGUCGGAUCGUAAAGCUCUGUUAUUAAGGAAGCGGUACUUAACCAGAAAGGGACGGCUAACUACGUGCCAGCAGCCGCGGUAAUUC